CUGGUAUUGCAGUACCUCCAGGAACG
rnacentral:piRNA from 2 species